GGGUGUUGAGAGGAUGGAUCCGAGAGUAUGUAAGCAUUACGAGUAUUCUUCACCUAUUCGAUGGACGCCAAUAAAUAGCAUAGUAAUAUGACGAUAAGAUUUGGUGAGGAUAAACUCUGGGUUCCAUGGGGUCGUUUUUCUGCCUUUCAUCGAUCAAACAUAAGCAUCCCAAUGAUGAGGCAUGAAUUAUGGCCAGAUGUAUAGUAUGUCGGUGCCUGAACUAUUAUUCUAAACUCGAUC
rnacentral:lncRNA from 1 species